rnacentral:miRNA from 1 species
UGAGGGAUGGAAUGGAAAGGAAU